rnacentral:lncRNA from 1 species
UCUAAUGGGCCAAUUUGUUUGAAUUUCCACUGCUUUUGUGUUGAACUUACCCCUCUCCUGUGGGCAGUCUCUUCAGGCCUUUAUUGAUGGGGUGUGUGAGGAUGGCGUAGGCCGUGUUCAAGAUGGUAGCUCUAUAGAGCGUGGGGGCUGUUUUGCAUAUUUACUGUUCUUUAAAGCCGGUUUUUUGAGAGAGAGAAAGAGACAGAGAAAGAGGUUUCUGUAAGUAGCCCGGACAAUGAGAACAAGACCGGCUGUAUGCCAAGCACGGGAUCCCGGCCAAAACACAUAUCAUUAGCUUGGACCAGCUAUAAGCAAGGAAAUGAGAAACAUAUGCUAGGAGCAAGGUUAGGAGUGAAGGAGCAUGGGUCAUUGACAGUCGCCCUAAAACUUUUCCCUUGUUCUUCAGCUGUGGCCUGGCGGUGUCAAAUGUCAUUUCGACGGCCUUCAUUUCUCAUGGUGGCGUUGCCUGUGGUUUUUUUUUUCUUUCUUUCUCCCCCUGCUGUUUCCUGAUGGGACUUUUUUUUUUUUUUUUUUUUUUUUUUCUUUUUUGGGAGGGGAAAAGAGAACAGGCAGGGAAGGUCUUGGGUGAUAGUUUUUCUCAGUUCUGGGAAAAUAACCUUGUUUCCUGUGAUGCGCUCUUCAAUUCCUCACUUUCUGUGAAGCAACGAUGUCUCUGGCUUUGGGAUCCUUACUGGUUUGAGAGGGGAAGACUAAGAGGAGGCUUUUAAAGCAGUUCUUGCUGUUUCUUUCUUAAAUAUAAUUAGAUGCGCCUCAUUUCCUCACACUGAAGGACUUUUGUACUUUUUCGAGCUGUGUUUUCUGAGAUCUUCCGUGGGCGACGGCUCGUUGUUUCCACUUGCAGUUGAUUGCAUUAGCAGGUCAGGACCCCUGUUCUCUAUAAAACCCAGAUGAAGAACUGUAUCCACGAAACUCAGAGGCAGUCCCUGGAGAGCAUCCCGUGUGGCUACUGUUGUGAAGCCGACCACAACCGCCCAGGAAACUCACCAGGCUCCGACACCCAGGGCAGCUGGGGAGCAAGAGAGGAAAGGAGAGAUGGGGGCGGCGAACUGCCAAUGGAAAGCGGUAAUCAGAUGUUAGGUGUGAAGGGUCCUGAAGGUCGAUGCUUAACUAGCUCUGCUGCUGCCGCUGGCAUUUUCCCUGGCGCCAAGGAGCACGUUGGCAGUUUGCUGGGAUCCCCCUGAAUUUCCAGUAUCCUGGGGGUAAGGACUGGAGUGAAGCAAGUUAAGGUAUGUAUUAUCUUACUCACUUUGUAGGGUUCACAGUUCCUCAGACUCUCAGUUCUGGUUUGUUUCGAAAGGGGACAACUCCUGGCUGGGAGGAGCCUUCAGUCAAGAGGCAGUACUGCAUAGUGGUGAAGCAGCUGGUUAAAACCACAGAUUAUGGGGCCAGACCCUGGUCACAUUCUAACUCUGCCACUUUCCCUCCUAUGUCCUUGGGAAGCCGCCUCCCUCUCUGUGUUUCAGCAUCCUCAGCUGCAGUGGGGAUAAUAAGAGUUUCCAUCUGAUAAGGAUUAUGUAAGUGUGCACCACAUGCUUAAACCAUGCCCUGGCACAUGGCACACACUCAAGACAUAGUGAGAGUAUAAUCGUCAUGAGUCAAAUGUUUCUGGUCCAUGCAGUGAUGAAGCCUGAUUCGUUUCUGAAAGACCUUGCUAGGACCCUCUAGUCCAGUGUCUUCUUAAGCUUCUGGGGGUCAUGGCUUGUAUGAUAAAUGUUAUGAACUUUCUCUGCAGAAGAGUUAACAUAUGCCCCCAAAUUUCACAUAUAUCUUCAGGGUGUUUCAACCCAUCCAUGAACUUGCUGGGGUUCAUAGACCCUGGAUUAGGAACUUUUUAUUUUACUGCCUUCCUUUAUUUUAUUUUAUUUAUUUAUUUUGAGACAGGGUCUCACUUUGCCACCCAGGCUGGAGUGCAGUGGUGCGAUCACGGCUCACUGCAGCCUUGACCUCCCAGGCUCAAGCAAUCCUCCCACCACAGCCUCCAGAGUAGCUGGGACUAUAGGCAUGCACCACCACAUCCAGCUAAUUUUGUAUUUUCAGUACAGACGGGGUUUCACCAUGUUUGUCCAGGCUGGUCUCAAACUCCUGGGCUCGAGGGAUCCUCCCACCUUGGCCUCCCAAAGUGCUGGGAUUACAGGCAUGAGCCACUGCAUCCAACCUUAUUGCCUUCUUAUUUGCUAGGUUGCCAGGAUCAUCCAAGUACAGCUUUGGAUAUAGUAAGAAUAAGUAUCUGGUCA